CCCCCCCCCCCAGCCCCCCCGGUUGCUACGGCCCUGACAUUGAGUAGACUACGGUAACUAGAACACUUCCCAAUGUACUGUAUACAAAUGUGAAUUCCUGUUGUUUAAUCAGGGGCGAAACUUGAGGGGGGUGUGGGGGGGUGUUACACCCCCCAAAAUACGAAUCGUCCCGAUUGGCAGGGCAAUCAAAGGUCUCUUAUAAAUAAAUGAUAGCACAUAGGCGUACCGGGCGGGGGCAAUAUUCGAUCGGGGAGGUCGCCAAAAUAAUUUUUCCGGAAAAAAAUUUUUGGUACUUUUUGGCAGGGCAUCACUGGUUUUGGCAGGGCAAUUCUGCCAGACACCCCCCUAAUUAAAAGGGGCUAGUUUCGCCCCUGUGUUUAAUAUAUAAAGUUAAUAGGUUAAAGAGAUUUCGCAAAAGUUUUUAUUUGCUAUUUAUUAAAUUGUGAGACGUGAAUAAUUUUACCUGACCCACCCCUAAUGCAGUGCAUAAAUUUUCCUGACCCACCCUUUUCGACGUGUUGAAAAAUAGUGA